UCCAUAUGUGUUAUUUUAUAGUUUUGAUGUCUAGACUAUUAUUCUACAAUGUAGAAAAUAGUAAAAUAGUAAAGUACUUUUGACUGGUACUGUAUAUAUAUCAUUACAUGCUAAAUAUUAUGUUAAAUGUUUUGUUUUUUCGUUGCCCUGUGUGUGAACAGACCCUCACGCUUUGUGUGGUCACUGUUAUGCGUCUAUCUGAAACACUAUGAUGACUGUGUCUGGGGAGGAAGUGGAGACAUUCCUUAGGACUGUCAGGUAUCGGGCCUUCGUCCAGUCCACCUCAUUGUUUUGAGAAAUGGUCAUAUAAGGAGGGUAUACAAUGGCCAGACAAUGACAGAAAAGUGUAAAUACACCAACACUGCCCUCUCUUCUUACUUUGAUUUGCCCAGUCCCCUCCUCUCCCAUCCUGUCAGUCUCCUCCACCUGUCUCAUUCAUUUGUUACAUGGUGUGAUCCAUUUCCUCCCGGACCUCCCCUAUGCUAAAGACACUAGAGGCACCUACAGAGUACAGUUAUGUUUCAGUGUACAUAAAGGACUUUUGGCAGAUGGAACCUGUUAACGUCACAUUUGAAAUGAUGCAGACUUAGUCCCCAGCACUGUGAUGCAGAAGUUCACAUUGUCACACUCGACAGAAAGCCGCAGCCUUAAUCCUUUGGUGUCUCCCCUAGUUUCCCUCCCACGUGGUCAUAGCAAACACACAGUAAAUAUACAUACACGUUUUUAAGUUGACUGAAUUCAUUGUUUCUGUCAGCUACGUUUCAACUUGGAGCUCUUAGUUCGGUCUGGGUUGUAUUCAGUAGGGCACAAUGUUGAAAGUGUUUUAAAAAGUUAUGCAACAGAAAACAAUAUUGAAUGUUUCUUAUCGGACAGGUUUGGGUAGUACCUCCCCGUUUCGAAACCUUUCCUCCCGACUGAACAUGACCACGUUAAUUUCCCUAGUGUCUCCCUUAGUGCCAAUUUAUCAUCCUCUCACCCAGUACCUACCCUCUGGGCACAGUUAUGACACAUCCAGCCACUGACGUGCCAGAUACACCGCAGUAUGCUAAACGUCCUCAUAGGAUGACUACACUACAUUGCUAAAGGACUGUGUGGGUGAAAGGCACAUAGCCACUGAUCGAUCAUAGUAACAUGGGUGGGUGUAUUGACCAAUCGUAGGCACAUGUGAGUGUUUUUUAGGCCAAUCAUCGUCAUUUGGGGAGGGAGGGUCUGUUUAUUUUGUCCUUUCUACCUCAUCUGAAUUGUUUUAAUUGAUGUUAAUUGUCUUUCCGAAAUAGGAAAAUAACAUGACCUGAAGUGCCAGGCUCAGUUCAUCUGUAUUUUUGUGGAAAUGUUGGUAGAUUUUAUUUCCUUAUUUUUUGGGGUUGUUUUUUUUGCCAACCGAACAAUUAUAGUCCAAACACUCCUUACUCCCUCAACUAUACCCUGUGGUAUUAUUGUGUAAAUGUGCAUAGUUUCUUAUCUUUCCCAACAGUGUAAGAACUUACGUUCCUUCCAAGUCAAUGUCUAUGAAGCUGCAAGGCUUUUUAAUAAUACUAAGAGUGAGAAUAUUAAUUACAAGCCCUGUGUAGAUGUUUUCUAUGUUAAAGUUUACAAAGACACUACCGUUGCUCUAUUGAAGGCAGCACUGAGGGCAACCUGCAUAACUUGUGUUGACUGCAGCAUCAUUGUAUUUAUGAGACAAUGAACAGUUAAAAUGUGUCUGUAAAAGUUUGAAUGGUUUUAUGCUCUGUAUGUGAUAUAAACAUAGUUCAGUGACGGGAGGAGUAGUACGGCAAGAGGAUGAUUGAACUAUGACACACUACAGAAAGCACCAGGGUUGUGUUCAGUAGGGUACAAAGUAGCAAAAUGUUUUGCGAAGGGGGUAAAAAAAAUUGUUCUUACUGGUCAAGUUCAGGUAGUAGGCUACCUCCCAGUUUCACUGUUUUGUUUUCUCCCUACUGAACCAGACCACAACCAGACUCGUGUUGCCCCUGUUAAAUAAUAUUUCUAUGUUUUAAUGAAUUAGAAAUUAUGCAAUCUGUAUUUAGCAAUGACAGAAAGAUUUACACAAAUAAAUGAAUGACAAACUCAAACUGAAAAUAUGACAUUAAACUGCCUGACAGAGUUCCCCUAUUGCAUAACUUUGAAUUAUUUGUUUAAGUCAAUACUGCAGAUUGGGAAGGGUAUGUGGACAUGCACCUGGCACCUCUCAUUUUCCCUUUCUAGUUUUCUUGAACUCUGUUGUCAAUACUGUUUGGAUUUCUUGAAAGGAAACAAAUAAUUGAUGUGCUUUCUGUUGGUCUUUGGCUUUUUAUGUUGUCCUCUGGUAUGGCACUGAUGGUUGAGCCAGGUCCUGUUGUGUCUGUUGUACUUGCAUGUUGCAUCCAGUGACACCCGUCUGUCAUCCAACCAUCUCAGGCUUGCCUUGAAGAGAAGAGACUGUCUCCAUUUCAUAGAGGGCCAUGAUCAUAUGAUACCGUUUUGUCUAGUGGAGUAUAGGCCAGUCAGGUGAAGCAACUUUCGCCCUUGGACCAACGAAUACUUGGAUUUUAAUGAGUGAUUUUAAAAUGGUGUCCUUUCACAAACAUUUUUCAACGUUGAAUCCCUUUUCUGCACCUUAUCUCUUAUAUUGCCUCUGUUACUGAUGAUAGUUUUUUUAAGCCUCAUCAUCAUUCAUUGCAAACUGUUUUCAUUCUCCUGUAUUUUUGUACCAGGUAAUUCCACAGAAACUGAAUUACGCUGAGACUCUGGUUUAAAAAAUAAAAAAUAUGCCAAACAAAAAACAUUUAUUUAAAAGUUUAAUAAAAAACCAUACAACUAUGCACAAUGACUAAUUUGAACAGUAAAUUACAAACAAAAAAAUAGUUUUUCCAGGAAAUGUUAUCUGCACAGUUCUUCCUGUAAAUAUUUUUUGUAAAAAUGUAUAAGUAGUCAUUGUGCAUAGAGUUUGUAUGGUUAAACUUUGAAAUUAACGUUUUUUUGUUUGGUAUACAUUUUUAAAGUGAAAUCUCAGCGUAAUUCCAUUACAUGAAAUUGCUCGAUCCCAAUUACAAUUUUCCUUUCGUGCCAUCCCUUUUCUUUUGAAGAGGACAGGAGUGGGUGAAAAUAUAAAUAAUUGAUUUUAAGAUGUUCCAUUGUGGUAUAACACUAUUAUUUGGAGUUCACAUUUUACCUUUUAUUUUCUGUAGCAUGUAAUGUGUUAAUAUCCUUAGUAAAUAAAAACCUAAGUAAAUAAAAUUACAAUUGUGUCAA